ACCUGGUGUAAACAUCCAAAAGAAAGAAUAGACCCUGUCAAAAUGUUUGAUGCAACGAUGUCAAGUCAUAUAAAAACUCUAUAUAAGACCUGGGUAUUGAAAAAAUUGAAUUACUGAGGUUGAGUGUCACAUGAAAUGGACGGACAAAAUUAAUGAAGUGAAAAUAAAUUAUUCAGUAUGACUUGUGACAUCUUUAUGUAAUCUUGAAAGGUCCAGAAUAAAAUAUUGCCUACAAUUUUAAUGAAAGUUCUUAGACAAAUUAUUAGUAAUAUUCACUAAAAAUAUAGUGAACAAUAAUAUUCAUUUAACUUUCCAACUUUUAGGCUGUUUAAGAAAGUUUCAAAUCAAAAUUUCAUUUGUUCAUGUUAUCACAAAAUCUAAAGACCCCAUUCAUUGCUGAGAGUUCUCUAACAUAUCUCUAUUAACUAUUUUUCAAAUUUUAAGCAAGUAAAUGUUAUUCCUGCAACUUUUGCCAAGAGAGAUCGAAAACUUGAUAUCAAAAUAUAUGACCCAUAGUUUUAACAGAUCAGGGAACAGCUAUAAGUACGAAUAUACGAACAUCAGUAGACCGUAUUGUGAGACGAGUUGGUACAUUACCUUGGCUGUAUUGUAAGCUACGUCCGAACAAUUUGGU
rnacentral:lncRNA from 1 species